UUUUAUUUAAAUUCCCCAGAAUCUGCGGUAGGAGGCACACCUUACUAUAAUGAUGUCAGCACAGGUCCAACAGAGCAACAAGUCACACCAGAGAAUUAUGAUGAUGUAAUCACUGUUGGACUGACACAUCAUACUAGAGGUGACAUAUCAGAAAGCUAUGAUGAUGUUGUCAUCAUAAGACAGCUCUCCAAUAAUAAAGCAGAGGGAGAUCUGGAGGAGUAUGAUAAUGUAAGGAAUGUCAGGGAAGAUGUGCGAGACCUCUCUGCAGACUAUGAUUAUUUGAGGGAAGAGCCAGGAAAACAGGGAGGGACUGUUUAAGUCAGUGACUACACCCACUGCCUCACAUCUUAUUACAGCUUUUAGUUGCUCUGCACUUAAAAGUGUUGAAUGUACCAACACAAUUGCAUUUAGCCAAAGCUUGCUGUUGUUACAAUUACUAGACAUUAAUAGAAAACAUGGACAUCAAUUCAGUACAAAUAUAGAACAAAUUCAUAA